CACGUAGGGGGCGAGCGUUGUCCGGAUUUAUUGGGCGUAAAGAGCUCGUAGGCGGCUCAGUAAGUCAGGUGUGAAAACUCCAGGCUCAACCUGGAGACGCCACCUGAUACUGCUGUGGCUAGAGUCCGGUAGGGGAGCAUGGAAUUCCUGGUGUAGCGGUGAAAUGCGCAGAUAUCAGGAGGAACACCAGUGGCGAAGGCGGUGCUCUGGACCGAUACUGACACUGAGGAGCGAAAGCGUGGGGAGCGAACAGG
rnacentral:rRNA from 1 species